UCAAUUUGGAGAUGGACUACAAAUAGUUU
rnacentral:piRNA from 1 species